GAGGAGCUUGCUCUUCUUGGAUGAGUUGCGAACGGGUGAGUAACGCGUAGGUAACCUGCCUGGUAGCGGGGGAUAACUAUUGGAAACGAUAGCUAAUACCGCAUAAAAUUGAUUAUUGCAUGAUAGUCAAUUGAAAGGUGCAACUGCACCACUACCAGAUGGACCUGCGUUGUAUUAGCUAGUUGGUGGGGUAACGGCUCACCAAGGCGACGAUACAUAGCCGACCUGAGAGGGUGAUCGGCCACACUGGGACUGAGACACGGCCCAGACUCCUACGGGAGGCAGCAGUAGGGAAUCUUCGGCAAUGGACGGAAGUCUGACCGAGCAACGCCGCGUGAGUGAAGAAGGUUUUCGGAUCGUAAAGCUCUGUUGUAAGAGAAGAACGAGUGUGAGAGUGGAAAGUUCACACUGUGAC
rnacentral:rRNA from 1 species